rnacentral:lncRNA from 1 species
UUCAGACAUUUAUUUAACUGACAUUUAUGGGUAGGAAGUUUCACCUAGAAAUCUUAAGAAUGUGAAAACAUGAUAAGUCAUCCAUUUCUCUUUCUUGUACAGGUAAUUUGAUCUUUGUCUCACACCUUCACACUUCAACACUGGAAUGAAGUCUUUGUACUAUCUAAACUGAAUGAUAAGACCGAAAGAAACAAAGUCAGAGGCUCAGGAGGCCAAUUCACGCACAAAGAUGAAAGUAAAUGACUAAAACAUAUGUAAACCCUCAAGGGUGAGUGAAUAGGAGAGGAGUCAACAUGAAAUGUCAGGAAAUUUUGGAAGAUGAAGAACUAAGAGAGAACUUCAGUGGAAGAGCACAGGGAGGUGAAAAUCAAGUGCCUGAAGAAAGAGGCACACCAGUGACCAUUCGGAACCUACAAAAGGCAAAGUUGAUGGGAAUGUUAGAUACCACAGGGGAGAGUAAGAUACAGAGGUAAAAGGAGCAGAAAUAAUCUCAAAGGUUUCCCAGUUCUCUGCCUGAUCCACCUAAGCAGGUAGUCACUUCUUCCCUGUACAAAGGAGACCUGGCAGGUUCUUCUUGGAUGAAUUGAAAAUAGGUGACAGCCUCAGAUACUAAGCAUAGCUGAGACAGGUGCAAGGCUCAGGCCUAAAAACGCAAGUUAUCAAUAGAUAACUACACACUUAAUGCUGAGACCCUACCACCUUCCCUAGCCAGACUGACCCUAAAACAGAAGAAUGGAGAAGCACUUUCUGAAGAAACCAAAAAAAUCCCAGAGAAAGAAACAUAGAUACUGACAUUCGAUAAUUUCCAAUAGGAUAAAAUUUGUCAAAUUUCGCUAACAUCACUUUCAUGAAGGUCCUAGUACACAGCUUUUCCCAUGCACACAAUCUCCAUCUGGCUUCUCGGUGCUCACUCACAGACACCCAAAUAUAACAAACAUUUGAGGAAAAAGCCUGAAUGAGACAGACACAAAAAUUAACAAAAAAUGCGGAAAUGUGAGACAAUUGAAACAAUAGAGUGAACAGGAGAAAUUUGUCAAAAAUUGAAAUGAACUUCCCAAAACAUUAAAUAUUACAUCUAUGCAGCAAAAACGGGACGUUAUUCAAAAUGAAAUAUUUUUUUAAAUAGAUGAAAUACCUUUAAAACUCAAUAGAAGGAUUAGAAGACAAAGGCUUAGACCAUUUUGAGAAAAUCUCACAAAAAAGCAGAAUAAAAACAAAGAAAUGGAAAACAAAUCAGAAACAAAAGCCUGCAAGAAUUAAGAGAAUUUUUCAAGAGAUUUAACAGUUGCCUAACAGGAGUUCCUGAAAGAAAAUACAUUAUCAGAAAUGUAGAAAACUGAUCAAAAAAUUAUACAAGAAAUUACCCUGUGCUAAAGGAUCCAUGUCUACAAAUUGAAAGGACAUUUUUAGCAUCAGUAGAAAAAAAACGAUAUCACAGCCUAUUCUGAAAUGUCACAGCACUAGGGAUAAAGAAAACUCUGACAGGAAAUGGUAUUUAGCCCAAAUUUUUACAGACAAACCGUUAAUCAAAUGCAAAGAUAAAAUAAAAAUACUUUUGGGAAUGAAGUACCUCUAAACAGUUACCUCUCCUCACCUUUUCAGUGGAAGCUACUGGAGAUCUAGAGAUAAAACCAAGAAAGAGUUAUAAUGGAAUCCAGGAAACCAGGGACUCAAUAUAAAAGCAAAGCAAAGGGAAUUCCCAAGAACAUGAAAAGCCAAGCAAAGGUGUAAAACAGGUAUAGAGAGCAACUGGUCUAGACCAGUACAGAAGGAAUCCGGGAGCAUGGCCUAAUGAACAACUCUGACUGAUAAUUGGUUAAACCCCAUAGAAAACUGUAUUAAAGACGCUAAUGGAAAAUGUACAAAUAAAAUUAAAAUUGAGUACACAAAAAAUAGGAAUGCAAAAAAGAGGUAAAUGCCCAGAAAAAAGUAUGUAAAGAAUAAUAUUUAAUAAAAAUAAUAUACUGUUUGGCUCAGCAGUUAACAAUAUUUACAUAGUCCCAAUCAACAGUGCAAAAAUUCAAUUAAUCAAAAAUCAAGAUACUAGGGAAAGAUGCAAAGGCAUUAUAAUAAUACAAAGAAACAAAAUCUUCAAGUUGCACUCUGGAAGACAGCAAACAAUGUAUAGAAUGGAGAUAUUAGAAAUUAGAGCAUUAGUAUAUGGCUUAGAAAUGUGAAUAUUCAAAGUGGCCCCCACUAGGAAAACCCACCACUCCUGAUCACCACCCCCACCGACAAAAUGAGGAAAUGGUUUUGGUUUUAAGCUUUUUUGUGUCAUUUAGCUUUUGAAAACAUAUGCAUGAAUACUGUUAAAAAAUAAGUAGCAUUUAGAAAUAAGGAUAAUUCCAACUGUACCUAUUUUACUUUACUAAAAAUAUAACUCAAUUUGUAUGCUAGCAAUAUUAACAAAAUUAUCAAUAUUAUUAUAAAAAAGUAGACCAUUUUUCAAGAGUGCUUGUGAAAACUUAUGGAAUAUUUAAAUAUACUCACUAGCAAGGCAGGAAAUCUAAUGUUUUUGUUGAAAGUAUAUUGAAAGAAGUAUAAACUGUAUUUUCAGAUUUACAAUAUACUGUUUAAAAGGGGGAACAUUUUGCAAUUAUAAAGUUAAAUAUAUAGGCCAUUUAGAGAAGCCUGAAUUCAGCUCCAAGGCUUCCAAAAUAAGAAAUAAAUAAUGUACCCAAUAAAUUAUCAAAAUAUUUCCUCAACAUUAUUAUGUUUACCAAAGAAUAGAAACAAAUACAAAGAAGUGAAAGAAGAAAUAUUCCCACUUAACAAUUCUCACAUUGUCACAGGGAGAAAAUAAACAUUGUUUUCUGAUUUUGAUAAUUUUUCAUCACAGUGGAUUAUCUCCCGGAUGUGAAAUUCAUUAUGCUCUUCUUGCAAAGUCACUUUCAUAAUUAUUUUAAAAUGGUCUAAAUAGACUAAGGUAAUGAAAGUAGACAUAUUCAUGUAUUCCAUUCAUUCUCAUAAAGGGUGAUCCUCAGAAUACAAAAGAAUAUGAUGGAUAAAUCCUUAAGCUUCAAUAUAUCUACUUUUAGGCAUAUUACAAAUAAAUUAAGAUAAAACAACCCACAUUCCAUCUCAUUAAAACUUGGCAAAUCUUUGGAUCUGCUUAGAGACACUGAAUGUAUAUAGAAGAAUAACUAUUAUUAUUUAUGCUUAUAAAAUGUUUGUUUACAUUGUUUUUCUGCCUUUCUAUAACCGUCCUGUUGUCUUGGUGACACUGGUCUAUUCCAAAAGGUUUUGCCCAACUCAUGUAACUAAUAAAGCAGAAUUAAGACUCAAACCCAGGUCUUCUGACUAUGAUCUGAUAUUCUUCCUACUACUUUCUCUGAACGUUUGGAUUUAGGAAGGACACCUGUUUCUAAUUGAAUAGAAUUAAUAUUUUUAAUGAAUAUCUCUCAUAUUUACUAGUUAAUAUUACCCACUGUAGGAAACCAAAAUAUUAAACCCUAUAAUAUACUUCUAUGAUGUAUUUCAAGAUGGCAUUUCAGUGAAGAUAGAAAUACAAGAAUAAUUGAAAAGCUGACUUUUGUGGAGAUUUGCAUCUGUAGAAGAAAUAAAGUGAAGGGUGCAACAGAUGCAAACAGGCUCUCUCUGAACCACACCACCCCUUGUCUGAAUCUAGGAAAGAUUUACUGAGAGUCUCAUGCUUUUAAAGGUCUG